GCGACAGUGCUUUCAGAAACACCACUGACACGUUUCAUGACAACAAAGUCUGAUAAUGGGAUGUGUUCAUCUGUGUAAACAGCACCCCAGCAGACAUGGACACCCUGCAGUAUCUAAACGCUCUUAUCUCUGAGCGGCUGGCUGCGGCGGUAGUGGAGAUUAUCAGGGAGAAAUCAGCCGAUCCAGAUCCACUUGAGAUCACUCAUUAUGAGCAGGAUGGGUCUGAUGAGCAGCAGUACCCUGAACAUCAUCUGCUCCUCUAGAAGAGACCGACCAUGACUACAACCUCUCUCUUCAGUCAGAGUGUUCAUGAUGAAACUCAUUCUUACAGUCCCAGCCAAGACCAGACUCUCAGCAACAACACGGAAGUGAAUGGAGAAAGGAUUAAGGCACUCACACUAACAGGAACAAGACAAAAGAAGAAAAAGGCAAGGCAAAUCUAUGACUUGUACAGCAGAGGAGAAGAAUUUAUUGGAACAGAAGUUGCUAAUAUUCUCACUAGGGAGAGAGGAAAUGCUUCCCAUCAGGGAAAAGCGGUUUGAAGAAUCGAGACAUUUGAGGGAUCAUGUGGGAAUCCACACAGGAGAGAAGCCGGAGCAGUGUCAGGAAUGUGGCAUGAAUUCAGAAAUGUUUGUUUACGUUUGUUUAAACAGCAAUAAGGCCUUUUAUUUUGGCUUUUUAUCCAUAGGUCACACUUUCCAAUUACAUAACACACCUGUUAUUAAUAUGAAUGAAAUAAAAAGAUAAUAGCUGUUUUCAGGGAGGGCAUGUCUCUUGAAAAUAAAAGCUUUCAAGUACAAUAAUUUAAAUGUGUGCUGAGUUGGUGUUUAUAUAUGCUUCAGUUCCUGCAGCAAAAAGUGGACUCUAUUGAGGAGAACCUGAAGAGGCUGAUGACCUGGGUGACAAAAUUCCAGGGACCAAACAGCGAAGACAAUGCUCUGGACCUCAAGCACAGUGUGGAGCAAUUACAGCCUCUGUGGGAGAAGAAACAAGCGGCUCCUGAUUGAGAGCACAGUGUGCUCUGUGAUCAACUAAGCAGUCAUGAGGUCUAAGCCAGGGCUGGCAGAGAAAGAGGCUGAGAGGAUGAUCGCUGAAACCCUAAAACACUCCAGCAAUGGCCGAAAGACAUCCAGAAACAUUAGGUUAAGGCUAAGAUGUACUGCAAAUCUUGAGAACACAUGAGCUCUGUCUUCUCGUAAAUGACACGUAUUUUCCUAAGUUAGUAGCUAAAACAACAAUGUUGACAGCUAGUUAGAGGCCUUCAAAGUUGUGUCUGAACCAAGUUUAACCAUUGGUGGAGAUACAAAUUAAAUUGCUAAGAAAAUAAGAAAACUUGCCUCUUUUUUCCAGGAAAAACAAUGUCCAGACCUUUCACUGAUGAAAGAAGAGGAAGAGGACAAAACAUACAUAUUUUGAAAAUGUAUCGUUGUUACAUGCUUG